UACGUAGGCAGCGAGCGUUGUUCGGAGUUACUGGGCGUAAAGGGUGUGUAGGCGGUUCUUUAAGUUUGGUGUGAAAUCUCCCGGCUCAACCGGGAGGGUGCGCCGAAUACUGAGGGACUAGAGUGCGGGAGAGGAAAGUGGAAUUCCUGGCGUAGCGGUGAAAUGCGUAGAUAUCAGGAGGAACACCGGUGGUGUAGACGGCUUUCUGGACCGUAACUGACGCUGAGACACGAAAGCGUGGGUAGCAAACAGG
rnacentral:rRNA from 1 species